rnacentral:sRNA from 1 species
AGCAGCCGCGGUAAUUCCAGCUCCAAUAGCGUAUAUUAAAGUUGUUGCAGUUAAAAAGUUCGUUCAUGCCACAAGUAUGUACUGGUCUUACUGAUCCUCCUUCCUGAUGAACUGUAAUGCCAUUAAUUUAGUGUUGCAGGAAGUCUGGACUGUUACCUUGAAAAAAUUAGUGUUUAAAGUAGGUUAACGCUUGAAUACAUUAGCAUGGAAUAAUGAAAUAGGACAUUAGAUUCUAUUUUGAGGAUUAAUGUAAUGGUUAAUAGGGAUAGUUGGGAGCAUUAGUAUUCAAUUAUCAGAGGUGAAAUUCUUGGAUUUAUUGAAAGACUAACUACUGCAAAAACAUUUGCACAAGGAUGUCU